GGCGGCCUACGGGGCGCAGCAGUGAGGAAUAUUGGUCAAUGGUCGGGAGACUGAACCAGCCACGCCGCGUGAGGGAGGAAGGUACAGAGUAUCGUAAACCUCUUUUGUCAGGGAACAAAGACUGGGACGCGUCCCCGGAUGAGUGUACCUGAAGAAAAAGCAUCGGCUAACUCCGUGCCAGCAGCCGCGGUAAUACGGAGGAUGCGAGCGUUAUCCGGAUUUAUUGGGUUUAAAGGGUGCGCAGGCGGUCUGUUAAGUCAGCGGUCAAAGCCCGGGGCUCAACCCCGGCCCGCCGUUGAAACUGG
rnacentral:rRNA from 1 species